AGUUCAGCUGCUGAACCAUGAAUCCCUACGGCUGUGGGGUUGUGCUUGAGGAAGAUGAGGAUCCCUCCUCUGAAAUGCUAACCCGACCCCAAGCUGCCCAAAUCCACCCCAUGGAUGGAGAUGUGAGAUGGGGUUCGGCCACCCCUGCGCCCCACAGACCUGCAGAGGAUUCCUUUGCCCCUCGACUUCUCUUCCCCAGGACUCCACUCCGGUGCCGUCCAUGCUUUUGAUGCCACUCAACUUCUGCAUGCACAGUGGUGCACAGCUCCAGCCCUGCACCUGCUGCUCAUCUGGCACCAUUCUGCCACGGAAGCAAUGCCCAGCAGCCACCACCAGGCGUUGGGGCCAGGCUGUGCCAGCAGCGGGGCGGUUUCUUGGAGCUGCUCUUGUGAAACAAGCCGGGCCGGUGCCGAAGCCGUCACCCAGCAACGUCACCAAGCAGGAAACCAUUGCAACCCAACCCCAAAAUAGCAGCAAUCCCCAGAAAAGCCAUUCCCUUCUUCCCGCCUGAGUUCCCCUGCUUGCAGCAGCGCCGGCACUCCCUGGGGCACGUCGUGGUGCACAGUCACAGCCCUGAGCGCACGCAUCACGCUGUGCUGGGCUUCUGCAGCCGCAGCAGUCGUGCCCCAGCUCUGCGCAGCUCCAUGCACGCACGCAGCCACCAAACGUCGGCUCUCCGUUCCACCAAGGCCGCUCCUCAACGCUCAAAAAUUUUCCAGGCUUGGAGCCGGGCCAGCGGUGAAUUUUGUUUUGCAACUGAGCAAAAUCAGCUCAGUGUUGUCGCUGCCCGGCCCCCACGUGAGCACAGCGCGGGGUUCUGGGCUCUCCCAGCCCCGCUGUUUGCAUUGCGUUGUGGCUCUGCGCUGCUGGGCCGUGUCCCAGUGCUCUGCCUGCCUCUACAGGCUGUGUGCCCUGAGCUGGGGCUAGAGAUCCUAUAGAGCUUGUGACAGGGCUGUAGGCCCUAAAGAUGCAGUAAGAGUUCUUAAAAUGGGCCUUGGUCUGCCAUGGUGGGGCCUGAGCUGUAGGACAGGCACAACAGCUUCUUGUCCUGGUGUCACCAGUGCUACCAACCCAUUCUCACAAUGCUAACAACCCAUCCUCCCAUUGUCACCAACCCACCCUCCCAGUGUCAUCAACCCACUGUCCCAUUGUCACCAACCCAUCCUCUCAAUGCCACCAACUCAUCACCCCAAUGUCCCCAACCCAACUUCCUGGUGUCACCAACCCAGGAUUGCAGUGCCACCAACCCAUCAUCCCAUUGUCCCCAACUCAACUUCCUGAUGUUACCAAGCCAGCCACCCGAUGUCAACAACCCAACCUCCAAGUGCCAUCAAACCAUCCUCCCAGUGCCACCAACGCAUCCCCCCCAAUGUCACCAACCCACCCUUGCAGUGCCACCAACCCAUUCUCCCUGUGUCACCAACCCAACUUCCUGGUAUCACCAACCCAUCCUCCCAAAGCCAUCAACCCAUCGUACCAUUGUCACCAACCCAUCUUUGCAAUGCCACCAACCCAUCCUUCCAAUGUCACCAACCCAUUCUCCCAGUGACACCAACCCAACUUCCUGGUAACACCAACCCAACCUCCCAGCAUCACCAACCCACCCUUGCAGUGCCACCAACCGUCUCCCACUGCCACCAAACCAUCCUCCCAAUGUCACCAACCCAGCACUGCAGUGCUGCCAACCCAUCCUCCUGAUGCCACCUACCCAAUCUCCCAGUGCCACCAACCCAACCUCCCAAUGCCACCAACGCAUCCUCCCGAUGCCACCAACCCAACCUCCCAGUGCCACCAACCCAACCUCCCAAUGCCACCAACCAAAGCCACCCAGGCUUUGUCCAAAGCAUCCAGCACAGUCCCACAGCUGCCCUCACCUCUUCCCCUCCCUAUCCAUAGGUUUUUCCCACCCUCUCUGCGCGUGUUACACCCAAACACGAGGCUGUGGGCUCUAAAGGCACUGACACUCACCGUGCGUCGGCG